GUCGCCACACUCUCGGGUUCGCUUGGUGCAGGUCGGGAACCAACCCUUCGGUGAUUGACCGCCGGAUUCCGGUCAGGUCCCUCGCCGUCGACCCUACCGUUGGCUCGCUUCCUCACUUGCAUCAAGUGAAUUCGAGAAUACCUGGCGAA
rnacentral:miRNA from 15 species